UCGUGCGCGCUUGGAAUUCGGUCAUUUCGUCUGGCGGCUUCUUCGAGAUUGUUUCGAAAGCACACGUGAACACGUGCUCCGAGAAUCUCAUCUCCUCAGAAUCAACGAGUGACUAAGGAGCGAAAAGACCGCUGUGUUUCGGAUCUACGAUUAAAAAAUCGUGUCAAAAUUAUGGCGGAUUACGUAUUAGGCGAUAUAAAACCGGCGGACGUGCCGCUACCGGAUGAUGGUUUGUCCGCCGAGCAGCUAUUCUCCGCGGGUGAUGGUCUAACUUAUAACGACUUCAUCAUUUUACCGGGCUACAUAGAUUUUACGGCGGACGAGGUCGAUCUGAUGUCACCGUUAACUAGGAAAAUCACGCUAAAAGCACCGCUCGUGUCCUCCCCUAUGGACACGGUUACGGAAUCGGACAUGGCUAUCGCUAUGGCUCUCUCCGGCGGAAUUGGAAUAAUACAUCACAAUUGUAGCGCCGAGUAUCAAGCCAAUGAAGUGCACAAGGUAAAGAAAUACAAGCAUGGUUUUAUUAGAGACCCAGUUGUGUUGGCGCCGCAACAUACAGUUAAUGAUGUUUUAAAUGUGAAAGCUAAACAUGGGUUUAGCGGAGUACCCGUCACAGAUACUGGUAAAGUUGGUGGUAAAUUGCUAGGCAUUGUCACUUCUAGAGAUAUAGAUUUUCUUGAGCGUUUGCCCAAUUAUCAACUUAAAACACUUAGUUCGAUAAUGACGACUUUAGAAAAUUUAAUCACUGCAAAAGCUGGUGUAACAUUGCAUGAGGCAAAUGUUAUUUUGGAAAAAUCGAAAAAGGGGAAACUUCCCAUUUGCAAUGAACGAGGUGAACUUGUAUCUCUUAUGGCGAGAACUGACUUGAAGAAGAAUCGUAGCUAUCCAAGUGCUAGCAAAGACGAGAAUAAACAGUUGCUUGUAGGUGCCGCGAUAGGAACUCGUGAGACAGACAAGCAACGAUUGGAACUGCUCGUAGCAGCUGGCGUGGAUGUAGUGGUAUUGGAUUCAUCGCAAGGCAAUUCUUUAUAUCAAAUUAAUAUGAUUAAGUAUAUCAAGUCGCAAUAUCCAAAUCUACAAGUGAUUGCUGGCAAUGUAGUGACUACAAGGCAAGCUAAGAAUCUUAUAGAGGCAGGAGCGGAUGCGUUACGUGUUGGAAUGGGUUCUGGAUCUAUCUGCAUAACGCAAGAAGUAAUGGCUGUCGGACGACCGCAGGCGACGGCCGUUUAUAAAGUUUCCGAAUACGCUAGAAAAUUUGGAAUACCAGUCAUAGCAGACGGUGGUAUUCAAUCCAUCGGACACAUUAUUAAAGGUCUCAGUUUAGGUGCUAGUACAGUCAUGAUGGGUUCUCUAUUGGCUGGAACAUCUGAAGCUCCUGGCGAAUAUUUUUUUAGCGACGGAGUUCGUCUUAAAAAGUACAGAGGCAUGGGUUCUUUAGAGGCCAUGGAUAGAAAGGACGCCAAAGGUUCGGCAAUGGAUAGGUAUUUUCAUAAUGAGAUGGACAAAUUAAAGGUAGCUCAAGGUGUCAGUGGCUCUAUAGUCGAUAAAGGUUCAGUACUUAAAUUUUCACCUUAUUUAACCUGUGGUAUCAAGCAUGCAUGUCAAGAUAUCGGUGCACCAUCACUUACUGCCUUGCGAUCUAUGAUGUAUAGAGGAAUAUUAAGGUUUGAAAGGAGAACAUAUUCUGCUCAACAAGAGGGCAAUGUACACAGCUUAUUCUCCUAUGAGAAGAGGCUUUUUUAAUUGUAAAGUAAAAUAAGAAAUUGUAAAACACCACGCGUCAUACAUGGAGAAAGGUACCUGCAUUUAAUCAUAUAACAGUUAUUUUACAAGAGAAACUGCAAAAAGUUGCGUAAAUCUUUUUUUUUUUUUCUUUAAUGCACAAAUGAAGUAUUUCUCACUUGUAUUUAAAAAUAAAUUAUUUUCAAAAGAAUUUCCAAUGAAUAGAAAAAUGAUAUUGAGUCACUAUAAGAGUUUUAUACAUACUUAUUAAUGAAAUAUCUUUACAUAACACUUUUUGAUUUUGAAUGAACAUUCUACAGUUUAGUGAUAAAUGAAAUCAGAUAUCUUAAUAGGAACUAUUUUAUCUGACAUUAAUAAGAGAAAUUUAUGCAUAAUGUUGAUACUAGAUAUAAAUGGUCUGAUUUUUUUUGACCAAAUAAAUCCAGCUAUUAUAUAUAAACAUUAAGAGAUAUAUCUGCAAAAUAAUAUUAGCAUGAAUAAAUGCCAAAACCGAAUUACUUUCUACACAUAAUUUAUAUAAUUUAGUAGCUGACUCACUCGUUCAUAGCUCGACUCAUUAUUUAAUUUAAUAUAAUUCAUAUAAAGCUUUUUUCAUAUUUUUUAAUAAACCUGUUUUAACUUUUCCCAAAAUAGAGACUUAAAGCUAAAAUAUUUGUAAUGAUUAAUAAUUUAUAAGUUAUUAAUCUAAUAAUAUUAAAUUGAAUCACACACAUUUGAAAUUUCUUGUCAAAAAUAUCGAUUUUUAGCUGAUAUAUUUUAUAUAGUAUUCUUGUAGAGUGUAAACUGUAUAUUUUAAAUAAAAGCCAUUUGAUGUAAACAUAAUUAUUUAUAUUUAUACUGAUUCUCUUGAUUGUUAUUGAAGAGAAAUGAAAAAAAGUAUGUAGUACAAUAUAUGAGGUUUUAUUUAUUCCGAUAGAGAAUAUAUACUUGGAGAUAUCCUAUGAUCUGAAUUGAAUAAUUCAUUUGAGUAAGUGUGAAAGAUAUAUUAUGUCUUUUUAGGAGAAUAAGAUUAUUACAUAAACGCGCGGACGCAGUGUCUGAUUAAAUAUAAUCAUAUAAUAAUAAAUGAUCAAUUGAUUGCAUUGAAUUAUUUCUGUUAUUUAAAUAGCAAUAUAAAUAUAUAUAAAUUUUCUAAGUAUAUUAUAUUAAAACUGUGUGAUUUUGUAAAUUAUAAAUACUAAGCGAACACACGUACAACUGUUGGCUAUUUUUUUUAGCACGCGCUUCGUAUCACUUCGUAUAUCUGUGCCAUAUUAUAAAAGAAAAAAAAAUAUCUGUCCCCACCCUCCAUAUCUUUCUCCUUCCUCCCAUUUUUUUUCCGAUCGCUCAUGCGUCAUGCGUGAAAGAUCCGGUUCAACACUGUGUGCGCAACAAAUCACAAAUCAGUGGAAAGAUCAAAGCUGUUCAGAGUUCGGAGAGGGAUGGUGGACAACAAAACAUAUGUAACCAGUUGUAAAAAUCGAAUGUUUUGUUUUUUUUGUUUAACGAAGAACUUAUCAAGAUUUUUGGCCGUGUUAAAAAUAAUCUAAAAUAAUUUGCAAUCAUGUAUAAUCUAACUGAAGGAGCGUUAGAUACGUCAAGAAACCGGUGCUUCAAAUA